AACAGUAGGCUGAUGCUACCUGCUAAUUUUGGAACACACCAGAAAAACCAAAGAACAGUGGCCUCAGAAUCAGAAGAUCUGACUAGAACCUGUCAUUCACAUGUGGGUGGCCUUGAACAAAGUUGCUUGCUUCGAUUUUAGCACCCAUGGAAGAAGAGAACCAAGGUGCUGUCUUACACGUGGUGCUAUUAGGAUUAAGUAGCACACACCAAGCUCUCAACAAAUUAUUCUGCUUUGCAUGUGAGACUGCACACUUUGUCAAGCUGGCUGGCCCAGUGGAAGGAUGGACCCACCAGUGGAAAGAAGCAAUGAGUUGUUAUGGUUCACUUCCCAAGUAAAAAAAAGUGAAGAUCCCCUUGUUUUCUUUGCAAUGAAGAACGCUAUCAACAUGUGCCUCGAACGUCCCCAAGAACAAGGAGGCACUGCAAGCAGAAAGCACAACAGAAGAAUAUCGCCGCCCCCAACAAUUACAGACCUACAGAACGGAUGGCAAGAUGAAAGUGGAGCUGCCAGUUCUUCAUGAAGCCGUUGUGUCUCUUUCGUCGUCCUCAACAAUCUUUAAGUGGUGUGUCUAUCAAAAACUAAGAUCUGAUCAAUGUCACUCGAGAAAAUGAGAGAAGCAGCAAAGUUCAGACACCAUGGCCUGAAUUUGAAUUACUGGAGUGAUGUAAAUAAUAUGUAUGCGUGAUUUCAUUUUCCUGUAUUUUACCUCUAUGUUGUCCAUUAAAGCUGCAUCAUACAUUUAUAAUUAUAUAUAUAUAUAGUACAUUGAUUAUAUAUGCCAGGCAUUACAUUCUACAUUUUAGAAGUAUUUUUAAGAUCAUACAUUCUGUUCUCCUUAAACUCUUCUUAAAAACAUGAUGGGUUGGGGCUGGAGAGAUGGUUCAGCGGUUAAGAGCACUGACUGCUCUUGCAAA